ACGGGAGGCAGCAGUGGGGGAUAUUGCACAAUGGAGGAAACUCUGAUGCAGCAACGCCGCGUGCGGGAAGACGGUCUUCGGAUUGUAAACCUCAGUUGUCCGGGACGAAAAAAAUGACGGUACCUGAAGAGAAAGCUCAGGCUAACUACGUGCCAGCAGCCGCGGUAAUACGUAGGGAGCGCGCGUUGUCUGGAUUUACUGGGUGUAAAGGGUGCGUAGGCGGGCAUGCAAGUCAGGCGUGAAAUCCCGUGGCUUAACCACGGGGCUGCGCUUGAAACUGGAGGUCUUGAGUGAGGGAGAGGCAAGCGGAAUUCCCAGUGUAGCGGUGAAAUGCGUAGAUAUUGGGAGGAACACCAGUGGCGAAGGCGGCUUGCUGGGCCAUAACUGACGCUGAGGCACGAAAGCAUGGGGAGCAAACAGGAUUAGAUACCCUGGUA
rnacentral:rRNA from 1 species